rnacentral:sRNA from 1 species
ACUUUGUUUGUGGGCUCAGCUAAUGGAAUAAAGCUUUACUGUGAAUCUGCGUGUGUGUUAAAGUUAUCAUAAUUCCAGGGGCUUUUCAUGGAAUCUUACGUCGUUUGCUGUGUUUGUUUCUCGUGUAAGAACAACUUGUGAGUACAAUUAUACACGUGACACUGACUAUGAGUGUCGCCUCAGCCACAGCCGCCGCCUCCACGCGGCACCGCCGGGACUCAAGGGCAAGUAACCCCGGCAAAGUUCGGGAAAGCAUCACACCCAAAAUGUCUCACGUGGAGGGCUUGGAAGAGUUUCAGAGGAAAAGGAGAGUGUCCACAAAGCCACGCACGGGCGGCGACUGCUGUAUCAUCUGCAUCUGCCUCUGUAUCGUAUUUCUUGUGGCAAGCCUCGCUUUCGAAGGACAAGAUUAGGUAAAGAGAAUGAUUAGAUCAAAAGUGAUCUCCCGUAAAACCUCUUUUUUUUGCUGGACUGGCACUGGUGGAUUCAGGGGAGCGCUGAUCGUUAAAAGACAUGUACAGAUAUACAUGAAUAUGUUUUCAAGUUUUGAAUAUCUGUCAUUAGUGUUUUGAAAUGUCUCAUUUCCAAAAGACAUUAUGCAAAGCAAGUUUAACAUCGAUUUUUAUGUGUACAUUUUCUGUUUCCUGCUAUUUGCUGUGUGUUCUCGGAAUUGUUUUGAUUAAAUGUCAUAUAAAGUAUUACCUU